GGCUUGCACAGGUGCUGCAUGGCUGUCGUCAGCUCGUGUCGUGAGAUGUCGGUUAAGUCCGCUAACGAGCGCAACCCUCGCUGUGUGUUAUAUGUGUCACACGGGACUGCCGGUCUUAAGCCGGAGGAAGGUGGGGAUGAUGUCAAGUCAGCAUGGCCUUUAUAUCCUGGGCUACACACACGCUACAAUGGCCAACACAAUAGGUUGCUAAGCCGCGAGGUGGCGCCAAUCCAUAAAGUUGGUCUCAGUUCAGAUUGUAGGCUGCAACCCGCCUGCAUGAAGAUGGAGUUGCUAGUAACCGCAGGUCAGCUAUACUGCGGUGAAUACGUUCCCGGGGCUU
rnacentral:rRNA from 1 species